ensembl:lncRNA
GGGAGUUCUGCCCAGCUCAGCACUUCAUUAUACUAUGGAGGCAGGAAGGAACUGGCCACAUCUGCUUUGGCUGCCAGAACCCAGAUGUGCCACGAGGCAUCCAUGAAUUCAUCCUACCAGAAUGCACUCAGCUUUCUCUGCUUGCUCCUCUGUUAACCUCUCUCUUGUGGGAGAAUAGGACCCGGGGCAGGCCAGGGGACCCUCUUUAAAAAUGCAAAUUAAAUCGUAACUCUUCCAGGUUAAAAGCCUCCCAUCCCACUUUAAAUAAAAUCUGAAGUCCUUACCAUGACCCACAAAAAGCUCCAUGUGAUCUGGUCUAGUCUCAUCACCUGCCCCCCACCCCCUGCCUCCUCAC